AGACAGAGGAAGCUGGAUUUCCUGGACAUCUACAGCGAGGAGAUGGUGUGCGCCGCCAAGAACAUCGUUCGGCAGUGUGUUGUGAAGUCCGUGUCGCAGAUCAGUGAGAUCGAUGCAGACGCUGUCAGGUUUCAUGAGCAGAUGCGCUUGAUGACGUUUCAUCAGUGGUUUGAUCUGCUGCUGGAUAUUUUUGAACACUUCAUCCUGUUCCUCAAGAAGAUCAAGGUAACGUAACUUAUAUUCAAGACAUGCAGUGAAACCCUGACAAAACACACAAUAUGUGACUCUGAGCAGCUGAUGACAUUCAGAAAGCUUCACUCGGUCAACACGACAUCAAAAUAGACUUCAAUAGACGUUCCUGGUCUUAUUAAUCUGA